rnacentral:rRNA from 1 species
UACGGGGGGGGCAAGCGUUGUUCGGAAUUAUUGGGCAUAAAGGGCUCGUAGGCGGUCUGUCGCGUCGGGAGUGAAAACUCAGGGCUCAACCCUGAGCGUGCUUUCGAUACGGGCAGACUAGAGGUAUGCAGGGGAGAACGGAAUUCCUGGUGUAGCGGUGAAAUGCGCAGAUAUCAGGAGGAACACCGGUGGCGAAGGCGGGUCUCUGGGCCGAUACUGACGCUGAGGAGCGAAAGCGUGGGGAGCGAACAGG